GACGAACGCUGGCGGCGUGCUUAACACAUGCAAGUCGAACGGAAAGGCCCUGCUGUUGUGGGGUGCUCGAGUGGCGAACGGGUGAGUAACACGUGAGUAACCUGCCCUGGGCUUUGGGAUAACUUCAGGAAACUGGGUCUAAUACCGGAUAGGAGCUCCUGCUGCAUGGUGGGGGUUGGAAAGUUUCGGCGGUUGGGGAUGGACUCGCGGCUUAUCAGCUUGUUGGUGGGGUAGUGGCUUACCAAGGCUUUGACGGGUAGCCGGCCUGGGAGGGUGACCGGCCCCAUUGGGACUGAGAUACGGACCAGACUCCUACGGGAGACAGCAGUGGGGAAUAUUGCACAAUGGGCGGAAGUCUGAUGCAGCAACGCCGGGUGCGGGAUGACGGCCUUCGGGUUGUAAACCGCUUUCGCCUGUGACGAAGCGUGAGUGACGGUAAUGGAUAAAUAAGCACCGGCUAACUACGUG
rnacentral:rRNA from 1 species